CGGCAAUGAGGAUGAUCUUUUUCAAUGACUGUCAGUGAUUGAUUUAUACGCUAUUCUGAGCUGACC